UACGUAGGGUGCAAGCGUUGUCCGGAUUUACUGGGCGUAAAGGGCGUGCAGGCGGUUUGUUAAGUCUAGGGUGAAAGCUCCCGGCUCAACUGGGAGAGGUCCUUGGAUACUGGCAGACUUGAGGAGGGUAGAGGAGAGUGGAAUUCCCGGUGUAGUGGUGAUAUGCGUAGAUAUCGGGAGGAACACCAGUGGCGAAGGCGGCUCUCUGGGCCCUACCUGACGCUGAGACGCGAAAGCGUGGGGAGCAAACAGG
rnacentral:rRNA from 1 species